rnacentral:rRNA from 1 species
GACGAACGCUGGCGGCGUGCCUAAUACAUGCAAGUUGAGCGAUGAAGCUUGGUGCUUGCACCAAUUUGAAGAGCAGCGAACGGGUGAGUAACGCGUGGGGAAUCUGCCUUUGAGCGGGGGACAACAUUUGGAAACGAAUGCUAAUACCGCAUAACAACUUUAAACAUAAGUUUUAAGUUUGAAAGAUGCAAUUGCAUCACUCAAAGAUGAUCCCGCGUUGUAUUAGCUAGUUGGUGAGGUAAAGUCUCACCAAGGCGAUGAUACAUAGCCGACCUGAGAGGGUGAUCGGCCACAUUGGGACUGAGACACGGCCCAAACUCCUACGGGAGGCAGCAGUAGGGAAUCUUCGGCAAUGGACGAAAGUCUGACCGAGCAACGCCGCGUGAGUGAAGAAGGUUUUCGGAUCGUAAAACUCUGUUGGUAGAGAAGAACGUUGGUGAGAGUGGAAAGCUCAUCAAGUGACGGUAACUACCCAGAAAGGGACGGCUAACUACGUG